rnacentral:rRNA from 1 species
GGGGAAUAUUGGGCAAUGGACGCAAGUCUGACCCAGCAACGCCGCGUGAAGGAAGAAGGCUUUCGGGUUGUAAACUUCUUUUAAGGGGGAAGAGUAGAAGACGGUACCCCUUGAAUAAGCCACGGCUAACUACGUGCCAGCAGCCGCGGUAAUACGUAGGUGGCAAGCGUUGUCCGGAUUUACUGGGUGUAAAGGGCGUGUAGCCGGGAAGGUAAGUCAGAUGUGAAAUCUGGGGGCUUAACUCUGGAGCUGCAUCUGAAACUAUGUUUCUUGAGUGUCGGAGAGGAAAGCGGAAUUCCUAGUGUAGCGGUGAAAUGCGUAGAUAUUAGGAGGAACACCAGUGGCGAAGGCGGCUUUCUGGACGAUAACUGACGCUGAGGCGCGAAAGCGUGGGGAGCAAACA